UACAGAGAGCCCGAGCAUUAUCCGGAUUUAUUGGGCGUAAAGAGUUCGUAGGUGGUUUCGUAAGUCAUUUGUUAAAUCUUCAGGCUUAACCUGGAGGCUGCAGGUGAUACUGCGAGGCUUGAGUAUGGGAGAGGUAAGCGGAAUGCCCGGUGUAGCGGUAAAAUGCGUUAAUAUCGGGUAGAACACCAAAGGCGAAAGCAGCUUACUGGACCAUUACUGACACUGAGGAACGAAAGCGUGGGUAGCGAAAGGG
rnacentral:rRNA from 1 species